rnacentral:rRNA from 1 species
GGGGGUGGGGGGGGGGGGGGGGGGGGGGGGCGGGGGGGGGGGGGGGGGCGGGGGUGGGGGCGGAGGGGGGAGGAACGCGGGAGGGUCGAGCGGUUGGGUCGGGACAGCCACUGGAAACGGUGGCUAAUACCGGAUAAGCUGAGGCGGGAAAGAUUAAUUGCCAGUUGGAGAGCUCGCGUCUGAUGAGCUAGUUGGGGGGGUAAGAGCCUACCCAGGCGUCGAUCAGUAGCUGGUCUGAGAGGACGAGCAGCCACACUGGGACUGAGACACGGCCCAGACUCCUACGGGAGGCAGCAGUGGGGAAUAUUCCGCAAUGGGCGAAAGCCUGACGGAGCAAUACCGCGUGAGGGAGGAAGGCUCUUGGGUUGUAAACCUCUUUUCUUUGGGAAGAUAAUGACGGUACCAGAGGAAUAAGCAUCGGCUAACUCCGUG